rnacentral:lncRNA from 1 species
ACAAGUACAUCAUGUUAUAUAUGAUGAUAAACCAUAUAUAAGAAUAAGAUUCAAUAUAGAUUAAUUUUUCAGAACCAUAAUUAUAUUAAAAUACUUUCAAAGAAAAUUUAUAGAAACAAAGAAACACUUAAUUUUUUUCAUAAGACAUAAAUUGAUCGAAACGUACAGACACACACAUAUAUAUACACGUAUAUGUAUAUAUAUAUGAAAGACACUUUCAUGACAACUUUAGCUAUCAUAUGCCUAGCCAUAGAUACCCAUGAAAUUGCUACUUAGCACGAUAAGAAGCAUUUCAUUUUAUUUAUUUAUUUAGGCUAAUUAAUUUCAUGCAUGCAUGCAUAUGCAUGAUUUGAUUUAAGAUUCUGAUCGAUAUAUAUUUAUUUCUUGGCGCGCGCCGUUAAUUGAAUCAUCAACAAUCAAAGUAACAGAAGCAUUUCCAACUGCCUCGUUUGUGACAUGCUCCAUGUUUUGCACCUUCCCAGCUCUGGCACUGCUUAUCACAGUGCUGUGUGUUUCCGCACUUCCCGGACCAUGUCAAGCUUGCUUUUUCACACAGUUUUCCCUCAACACCUGCACAAUUAAUUAAUUAAUAUACCAAAAGUUAAUUUAAGAAAUUCAAACACACUAGUAUGCAUGCAUACACUAAACAUUAAUCUUAAAAAAAUACAAAAUUAACACUGAUACGUACGAUCAUUUAUAUAUUAAGUUUUACUUUAUAUAUUGUGAAAAAAUUGCAAACUAACCAAAAUAAAAAUAAAAAUUCCUCGCAUGAUUAUGAAUAUUGAUCAGAAUAGUGCUGAUGGAAUAUUGCACCAACAUGCAUGCAUAUAUAUAUAUAUAUAUAUAUAUAUAUAUAUAUAUAUAUAUAUAUAUAAAACAAUAAAUGCACCGGAUGUAAAAUCCAGGCUCAUCGAACAUAGUUCGACCACAGUUCAUAUAUAUAAAUAUAUAUAUAAAAGCGAGUAAACGCACCAGACCGAAGUCUAGGCUCAUCGAACAAAGUCCGACACACAGUUGAUAUACGUAGAAGGGUGUGUGCAAAGAUGAAGAGAAAGACUCUAAAGUGUAUGAGAAGGCUUACAGCUGACUGAUAAAAAGGGCUUCUAUAUCUUUAGAGUGGGUAAACACUGGGCUUUUGUGGGUACAAAAGAGGCUAUAUAUGAGCUCACAGGUGUUUGAAAGUGGGAAAAUACACUGUAUGGCGAGUGCAGAGCAAAUUGUGCAGGGUUUCCCCGUCUUUUUUCUCUUAAAAAUCAGCACCCCAAGCCUCUUAUUUAUAGGCAAAAGGUGNNNNNNNNNNNNNNNNNNNNNNNNNNNNNNNNNNNNNNNNNNNNNNNNNNNNNNNNNNNNNNNNNNNNNNNNNNNNNNNNNNNNNNNNNNNNNNNNNNNNUAUAUAUAUAAAUAUAGGUCGAAAUUAAAGAUAAGUAGUCACCUGUGUUAGCAAGGAGGAAAAAAAUUAGAGAGACUGUAAUGAAGGUAGUUGGGCUAAAUUUUAUUGCCAUGUUUAAUCUUCUUGAAUUGAACUAAACCAUUCAUUCAUUUUGUGGGGAAUUUAUAGUAAAUGAUUCUUGGCUAAGUCCGUGUUUGAUUUAUAUUUUUAAUUUACACGUGACGGACAAUAUUCUUAGGACGUGACAAAUACGAGAAUAGUUGCCACUACCCUAUAUAAUACUCCCUCCGUUCUUAAAAGAUUAUCGUUUUAUAAAAAAUAAUUUAUUUCAAUUUAUUUGUCGUUUAUAACUAUCGAAGAGAAUAAAUUAUUUACUUUCUUUUAUCACCCCUAGUCCUACGUACCUUCUCUCAUUUUUUCAAGAAAUUCUCUCCCUUAAUAAUUUUUAACUUCCCAUAAAAGAGUAGUGAUGAAAUUUCAAACAAAUUUUAAUUAUUAAAUGAUAGUGAGAUAAUAUAUAUAUAUAUAUAUAUAUAUAUAUAUAUAUAUAUAUAUAUAUAUAUAUAUAUAUAUAUAUAUAUAUAUUAUACAGUCAGAGUCACGCCUCCAUUGUUGAAAUUUUGUAGCAGUGUCCGCAAAAUGACUUGUUCCAUGCAUGAUAGAAAGCAUUUAUGUUUGUGAUCAUAUAAUGUUGGUCUAGAAAUCUUUUUGCUGCCUAAUUUCUCUCUCAUAUACGUACAAAUAAUCAUAGAAAUGCUUCCAUUAUUGAAGUUUGGUAAAACUAAUUAUUUCUCUACUGUAUUUGACAUCUUUUAUUUAUUUUUUUAUUAAAAUUUUAAUUUAUUCAACUAAUAUUUUAAUUUAAUUAAAAUAAUGAAAUUAAAUAGACGUUAACUUACUUCAAUUUUUUGACAAAACUAAUAAUUUUCUUACUUACUCGACAUAUUUUAUUUAUUACAACACUAAAAUUCAUUUAUGUGAAAACCAUCACAAUUUGCAUGACUUGAUAAAAGAAUCAAAUGACAAAAAUUCAAAUACGUGAAAACGGAAGUGGUUAACAUAAAAUUUAUUUUUGGGUAAGUUGGUCAAUUAAUUAAUAAAAUAUUGACAUACAAACGAUGUUCUAUAUGUAUCAAUAUUUUAUUAAUUAAUUGACAAAUUUACUUAAAAAUAAAUUUCACACUGACCGAAUCCCGUAAAAACCAUCACAAUUUCCAUAUGCAGGAGUUAGGACCCACUAGUGGGUAGUCAUAUCUAGCCUUGCAAGCCACGUGUGUGGACCCCCAUAAUUUCAUUUUUCAAAUAACUUGCUUUUCUUGACAAUCUAUGGGGAAGGGGAAGGGGAAGGAAGCGGAAAUUUUUGGGUUUUUUAGUAGAGAAGUGAUUAUGAUUUUCUAUUGAGUUUUUUUUAGAUGGAUAUAAAAAUUAGAUUAAAAUAUAUUAAAAUUUUAUUUAUUUAUAUUUUUAAUUUUUAAUAUAAAAAUUAAAAUAUAAAUAAAUAAAAUUUAAAUAUAUUUAUAUUUAAUUUUUAUGUUCAAUUUUACUUAAUAAAAUAAUCAAAUGACAAAAAAUUCAAAUAUGUGAAAACCAUCACGAUUUGCAUAUGUAGGACCCACUAGUGGGUAGUCAUAUCUAGCCUUGCAAGUCACAUGUGUGGACCGCCAUAAUUUCAGUUUUCAAAUAACUUGCUAUUCUUGACAAUCUUUUGGGAUGGGAAAGAAAGGGGAAUUUUUUUGAUUUUUAGUGAGGAAGUGAUUGUGAUUUCUCACUUACCUUUUUUUACUGGACAUCAAAAUUAGAUAUAAAAUUAAAAAUUAAUGUAUUUAAAUUUUAUUUAUUUAUAUUUUUAUCUUUUAAUAAAUAUCAAAAUAAAACUAAAUAAAAUUUAAAUAUAUUUAUAUUUAAUUUAUAUAUCUAAUUUUUAUGUUCACCAACAAUUUUUAUUUCUCAAUAGUACAUCCACGGAAAUUGCAUGUUUCUCGUUAAUGAUUUUGGAGUGACAGAAGUGGUGGGCCUUUUUUCUAGUCUAUGUUAUGCAGAGUUGGAUGGAUUGUUUGGUUAAAUACGCAAUUUUGUAUAGUGUUAUUUAAAUAUUUUUUUAAUUUUGUCAUAUUUUUACACUAAAAUAAAAUAUUUAAUAUUUAUAUUUCUGUUCAAAUGUGGAGUGUUGAACACAAAUAAUUCAAAAUAAAAUAAAGGAUAAAAUGAAGAGUGUGUAACAUAAUUUCUAGUACAAUGGAGUACUCCAUACGUUUCAAAAUAACUGUUCAGUUUUAAUUAUUUUGAUCAAAUUGAUUAUUUUUAAAAUUAAUAAUUAAGCACAUAUAAAUAUUUUUUAAAAUUAUAAAAAUUGAAAUUGAUAAUAAAUCAUAUGUAGUUUGUUAGUGUCAAUCCCUUCACCUAUAUUUUAGAUACAAAAAAUUUAAAAAUAAUUAAUUCGACCCAAAAAAUAAAAUAAAUCAAAACUGGUCAUUGAUGGUGGGAGGAUUGGGGGGAGUAUUACAUAUAGAACUUCCACUCUCAUCUCACGUCAUGCAAAGAUAAGGAUCCGGUUAGUAUAAAUACUCCGCCAUCAGCCUGGUGAUAUAGCGGUGUAUUUAAUUAUUUUUUUAUUACGUGAUGUGAUUACGUGUUGAGGGGGAAAUUGUUGAGGUAGUAAAGUCUUACAUGCAGCAUGACACAUGCUUUUGAAUAACAAUGACAUGCAUAUUGAAAUAAAUAUAUAUUGAAUUAAACCAUUUUGUGGGGUAUUUAUUUGUUUCACCGUUCAUGCAUGAUAUAUAUUGAAGCAUGUAUUUUAGAAGAAUCUUAAAAUAUCAAUUCUCAAUUUCAAGUUGAAUUUAAUUUAGAAGAGAAACUUGUCGCGGAUCAAGAAUUAAGACCAUCUAUAAUGAAAUAUGAUGCUAACAUAGAGAAAAUAUUGGUCAAGAAUAUUUACUUAAGGGCCCUCAUGAUCAACCAAUGAUUUGUUAAUAUUAUUAUGAUUAGUUAAUAUACUGAUUAGUAUAUGUUUUUUUUAAUUUAAUUUUAACAAAAAAUUUAGUUAAAAUACGCCUUUGUUUGGAAAAAUUUCUGAAUGAUCCGCUCAUGUGUAAGGGUAAUAUAACAAUAUAUAGUAUAUUUUAAAAAUAAAAAUAAUAUGUCCUCCAUUCCCUCAUUCAAAACUCAGAAACAAUAAAAAAUAUAAUUAAAAUUCUCAUCAUUUUUCUUAUUUUUUAAAACACACAAAUAUAACGAAAAAAAAAUUAUAAUCCAUUCCCCUCUUAUUCUUACCCUUCACAUUCCAUUCCAUCCCAUCCCAUCCCAUCAAACUGACAAGCACAACAAGUUAUAUAUGAUGAUAAUCAUAAGCGUCAAUAUAGAUUAAUUUUUCAGAAGUAUUACACGCCAUAAUUAUAUUGAAGUAUUUUCAAAGAAAAUUUAUAGAUUAAUCAAAGAAACACUUAAUUUUUUCAUAAGACAUAAAUUGAUCGAAAAGUACAGACACACAUAAUAUAUAUAUAUAUAUAUAUAUAUAUAUAUAUAUAUAUAUAUAUAUAUAUAUAUAAGACACUUUCAUGACAACUUUAGUUAUCAUAUGCCUGCCUAGUUAUAGUGACCCAUGAAAUUGCUACUUAGCACCAUAAGAAGCAUUUCAUUUUAUUUAUUUAUUUAGCACGAUAAGAAGAAAUUUAUUUCUUGGCGCCGUACGUUAAUUAGAUCAUCAGCAAUCAAAGUAACAGAAGCAUCUCCGAUCGCGACAUGCUCCACGUUUUGCAGAUUCCGCGUUCUGGCACUGCUGUUCACAGUGGCCUGAGUCUCCGCACCUCCCGGACCAUGUCACGCUUAGUUUUUCACAUAAUUUUCCCUCAACACCUAUAUUUGUUUCUGCACAAUUAAUUAAUAAAUAUACCAAAAGUUAGUUUAAGACAGUCAAACACGUACAUGUAUUUAAUACUAAUUAAUAUUGUUGAUUAUGAAUGCAUGCACUAAAAAUUAAUCUUUAAAAAAAAUACAAAAUUAGCACUGGUAGGUACGAUCAUUUAUAUAUAAACUUUUACUUUAUAUAUUGUAAAAAAAUUGCAAAUUAAAGAUAAGUAGUCACCUGUGUUAGCAAUGAGGAAAAAAAUUAGAGAGAUUGUAAUGAAGGUAGUUGGGCUAAAUUUUAUUGCCAUGUUUAAUCUUCUUGAAUAUAUUGAACUAAACCAUUCAUUCAUUUUGUGGGGAAUUUAUAGUAAAAGAUUCUUGGCUACUAGGUUUGAUUUGCAUGUUUAAUUUAGAUGUGAAGACGCGUGACACAAUACAAGAAUGGAGUAUAUAGUUGGCACGGGCCCUAUAUAAUAUAGUAUAUCCGGCCAGCUGCAAAAUGAAAGCACUUUGCUGACUAAUUAAUUUAUCAUAUAAUCAGAGUCCCGCCUCCAUUGUUGAAAUUUUGUAGCAGCCGGCGGCUACUUUAAAGGCCGCAAAAUGACUUGUUAAUUCCAUAUUCCGUCACGUAUUCUUGCUUUUUUAGUAAUGCAUCGACUUAAAACUUUCUCUGCAGUAUGGACGAAGCUAUUUCGUCGCACAACAAGUUCCAAUCGGCAACCCAAUUGACCAACCAUCUCCUUAGACUCGCCAGAUUCACACCCAUCAUCUCCUUUUAAAAAAAAAGAAAAAGUCCAGCCAAAUCAGGGAAGUGAUGCCAUUUAUCACCGAUGGCAUAUUUCUACGUACAGAUCAGAGAGAAAGAUCAAAUAAACAAAGAUUGAUUAAUAAAACCCUAUCAUCCACCUAAAAAGGUGAACAUCUCCACCCCAUUCAUAUCUUCCUAAUAACUGGUUUCAGAUUCAUGCUUGUUAGAUAUGAAGACUUGAUGGGCUUGGGAGAGACUCUCGGUGGAUCAAACAAGAGAUAGCGUGAUACUAAAGUCUCACAUCGAAAUAUAAGAACAAAGAUGUAAGAAAUAUAUGAUCUAAUGGACCAUAAACAUAAUAGAUUAACUUUUUUAUACAAGAUGUGGUUUCAGAUUAACACAAACUAUACAUAAAAAUUAUGCACAAAAUAGUAUAAAAAGGGAGUAAAAAUAAAAAUUGGACCUACGAUUAUAUAUUUUACGUAUUUAAUUUUUAUGUGACUAAUACACAGUUCCGAUACUUAUGAGAGAAAUUUUAUGAAAAUAUAAAUUUUAUUUGUGAAAAUAUAAAUUUUCUACGUUUAAUUAUACAUCAAUCAUUUGAUUAGAUGGGAUUUGUUUGUGGACAAAGUUUUUUAAAUCUACUGCUGGUCGCUGGUUAAUAGCAACAGUAAAGUUGUAGAAGACUACUGUUGUAGUGAAGGAUAUGGGUGUAAUUUCCUCGAAUAACGCACAUGGGAUAGCUUUAAAUAUGCUGGAAUGGUAUGUGGGAUACUUUUCCGUCAUUUAGGAUAAGGCUUUAAUUAGUGGACCAAUUGCAUAUCAAGUACAUGCAGUAGUGGUUCAUGAAUUAGGUUUGAAUGCUUGCAGAAAUAACAAUUCUUUACUUUACGAGUUAGUAAUUUUUUAAGUGGAUAUAAAAAUUGAAUUUAAGGGUAUUUAAAAUUUAUUUAUUUAUAUUUUUAUUUAUUAUUGUGAAUUAAAAUACAAAUAAAUAAAAUUUAAAUACACUCAUAUCUAAUAAAGAAUUUUUGUACGUUUAAUUAUACAUCAAUCAUUUGAUUAGAUAGAAUUUAUUUGUGAACUAAGUUUUUUGAUUCAACUGCUGGUCGUUAUUUGGUCACUGCUACUUUCAUUCUUAUAAGAUUGUCGUUUAAAAUUUUGACACAUGGAUUAAGAAAGUAUCAUUUAUCAAGGAAAUUUUAUUUAAAAUUUCAUCACUACCCUUUAUAGGAAGUUGAAAACUAUUAAUAUAAGAGAAAGAAUUUUUUGGGACAAUGAAAGAAGGUAGGGGUAAUAUAGAAAAAUAAAUAAUUUAUUCUCUUUGAAAGUUGUAAACGAUAAAUUUUGUAGAAUAAUUUUUUUUCCUUCUAAAACGACAAUACGAGGGAGUAGUUAAUAGCAAUAGUAAAAGUUGUAGAUGAAGGAUAUGGGUGUAAUUUCUUCAAAUAACGCACAUGGGAUAGCUUUAAAUUAAUUUAUAUACGUUAGAGUAGCAGGUGGGAUACUUUUCAAUUAUUUAGGACAAGGUGUUAGUUGAGUAAUUGCAUAUCAAGUACAGUAGUGGUUCAUGUAUUGGGUUUGAAUGUUUGUAGAAAGGAAAUUUGUAGGAAACUGAUAUUUCUAAAUAUUAAAAUUAUACUUUUACACGAGUACGUUUGUCUCAGUUCUCAAUUUGUAUCAAUCAAAUAAUUUCUCUUUUUACAACAAUUUUCGUUAUUAAAGGCUUUAAUUGAUUAAGUCUGUUGAAUUAAUAGUCUUAUUUCAAUAUUAAUAAAAAAUUUCCUUCAUAAAGCUAUCAUAGUUAAGUUAAGGCUACAUAAACAGAUAAACUUAUCUGGGCCUAAAGUAUUGCAUAUGACAUGGGAUACUAGCUAAUUUAUAAUCAGAAUAUGGGUAUAUUUUGAAGUUUUGUAGGUAAAGUUAGCAAAUUGCUUUGUUUCAUAAUAUUUAAUUAUUUAUGAUUGGGAGUUUGGUGAGCAAAGAAUUAAAUAGAGAAAAUAUAUUCACUCAUCUCCUGCCCCUUAAUUCAAUUAUCAUAAAAAUGGUUCCCUUUUUUCUUCUUCUUUAUCUUCCUCUCUAUGCCUUCGACACAAAAUCUAACCAUAUAUAUAUAUAUAUAUAUAUAUAUAUAUAUAUGUGGUACAUAAUAAUCACUUGAUAUAUUUUAGUUUGGUUUGGAAUGAUCGAAUUUAGUGGAGGACGCCCAUAUACUCCUUUUACUACCACAAGGAGUUGUGUGGAAAAUCCCAAAAAUGUAAAUUUCUGAAUGGAGGGAGUAUCACUACUGAACAAAGAACUUGGUCCCUUAGAUUUUGGAUUUUCAAAUUAAACCCACUUAAUAAAUAAUUAAGUUAGGACUAUAGCAAUGCUAUAUAUCAUGAUACCAAAGGCUUUUGGCGUUAGUGGUAUUACUCAACCCAGGGUAACUAUGAGAUUGAGGGCUCGAGCCUUGACAUGCUAAGGUUGAGUGUGUGAGUUUCAGUUCUUGUCUAAAUUAGCAAGUAUAUAUGAUUAGUCAGCAUACAACUGAAUAAACAAAAAAGGAUCAUUAAAAGCUUAUGAGUGAGCUUAGUUUUGAGAAUUACAAGGGAAGAUAAAAGUUUUGAAAGAACUUUCUCUUUCCUAUCUAUUCAUAAGACUCACAAACAUUAAUUAUAUUGGCCUAAAGUACGUACUUCAAUAAAAGUACUACUACUACUGCAUGAUAAGAAACAUAGAAACACUUAAUUUAUUCAUAAAACAUUGAAACGUACGUACGAUGGAUCAAAACAGAUACAUGAAACAACUUCCAGCCAUAAUGAUCAUGCGCUAGCAUUUUCAUGCGUGCAUGGUUUAAGAUUCUUAAUAUAUUCCCUUCCCAGGUAUUGGUUCAACAAUCAAAGUAACAAAAGCAUUUCCAAUUGCCUCGUUUGUGACAUGCUCCAUGUUUUGCA